rnacentral:rRNA from 1 species
CUACGGGACGCUCCAGUGAGGAAUAUUGCACAAUGGAGGAAACUCUGAUGCAGCAACGCCGCGUGGAGGAUGACGCAUUUCGGUGUGUAAACUCCUUUUAUAUGUCAAGAAAAUGACGGUAGCAUAUGAAUAAGCACCGGCUAACUCCGUGCCAGCAGCCGCGGUAAUACGGAGGGUGCAAGCGUUACUCGGAAUCACUGGGCGUAAAGGACGCGUAGGCGGGUUGGAAAGUCAGGUGUGAAAUCCUACAGCUUAACUGUAGAACUGCACUUGAAACUUCUAAUCUAGAGUAUGGGAGGGGGAGAUGGAAUUAGUGGUGUAGGGGUAAAAUCCGUAGAUAUCACUAGGAAUACCUAAAGCGAAGGCGAUCUCCUGGAACAUUACUGACGCUAAGGCGUGAAAGCGUGGGGAGCAAACAGGAUUAGAUACCCCGGUAGUC